rnacentral:rRNA from 1 species
AAAUCAAAUCAUGUAAGCUUUUUUUAGUCGAACAGACUAAAUCCCUCUAGCUUCUUCACCAAAAAUAAAAAUUAAUUCAACAUCGAGGUCACAAACUUAAUUAUUAAUAAGAACUUGUUAAUUAAAUAAUGCUGUUAUCCCUAGAGUAACUUAUUUCAACUCUAUAUUCAUAAACUUUAAAAAUCCUUAUCUUCAUUUAAUUACCCCAAUUAAAAAUUCUUUAUAAUUCAAAAGCUUCUAGGGUCUUCUCGUCCCAGAACUUUAUAAAAGCGUUUUUACUUUUAACUUAAAUUCAAAAUAAUUAAAUAAAACAAUCUUCUUAGUCUUAACCUUUCAUUCCAGAUUUCAAUUAAAAAC